UGGGGAAUUUUGGACAAUGGGCGAAAGCCUGAUCCAGCAAUGCCGCGUGUGUGAAGAAGGCCUUCGGGUUGUAAAGCACUUUUGUCCGGAAAGAAAUCCUUGGCUCUAAUACAGUCGGGGGAUGACGGUACCGGAAGAAUAAGCACCGGCUAACUACGUGCCAGCAGCCGCGGUAAUACGUAGGGUGCAAGCGUUAAUCGGAAUUACUGGGCGUAAAGCGUGCGCAGGCGGUUUGCUAAGACCGAUGUGAAAUCCCCGGGCUCAACCUGGGAACUGCAUUGGUGACUGGCAGGCUAGAGUAUGGCAGAGGGGGGUAGAAUUCCACGUGUAGCAGUGAAAUGCGUAGAGAUGUGGAGGAAUACCGAUGGCGAAGGCAGCCCCCUGGGCCAAUACUGACGCUCAUGCACGAAAGCGUGGGGAGCAAACAGGAUUAGAUACCCUGGUAGUCCACGCCCUAAACGAUGUCAACUAGUUGUUGGGGAUUCAUUUCCUUAGUAACGUAGCUAAACGCGUGAAGUUGACCGCCUGGGGGAGUACGGUCGC
rnacentral:rRNA from 1 species